AACGAACGCUGGCGGCAUGCCUAACACAUGCAAGUCGAACGAAACCUUCGGGUCUAGUGGCGUACGGUUUCGUCACGCGUGGGAACCUGCCCUUAGGGUCGGAAUAACUCCCCGAAAGGGGUGCUAAUACCGGAUAAUGUCUUCUGACCAAAGAUUUCUCGCCUUUGUAUGGGCCCGCGUUGGAUUAGCUAGUUGUUAGGGUAAUAGCCUACCAAGGCGACGAUCCCUACAUUGUAACGGAGGAGGAUUAGCCACACUGAGACUGAGCCGCGGCCCAGACUCCUACGGGAGGCAGCAGUGGGGAAUAUUGGACAGCCGGCGAAGGCAUGAUCCAGUUCUGACGCGUGAGUGCUGAAGGCCUUAGGGUUGUAAAGUUCUUUUAACUGGGAUGAUCAUGACGGUACCGAGACAAUAAGCUCCGGCUAACUCCGUG
rnacentral:rRNA from 1 species